rnacentral:rRNA from 1 species
UCAUCAUGCCCUUAUGUCCUGGGCUACACACGUGCUACAAUGGUUGGUACAGAGGGAAGCUAUAUAGUGAUAUAAUGCAAAACUCCAAAGCCAAUCCCAGUUCGGAUUGUAGGCUGCAACUCGCCUACAUGAAGUCGGAGUUGCUAGUAAUCGCGGAUCAGAAUGUCGCGGUGAAUGCGUUCCCGGGUCUUGUACACACCGCCCGUCACACCAUGGGAGUUGAUAAUACCCGAAGCCUGUGACCUAAUUGAGGAGCAGUCAAGGUAGGAUUGAUGACUGGGGUGAAGUCGUAACAAGGUAGCCGUAUCGGAA